rnacentral:rRNA from 1 species
UACGGAGGGUGCAAGCGUUAUCCGGAAUUACUGGGUUUAAAGGGUGCGUAGGCGGCUUAGUAAGUCAGGGGUGAAAGGUCACGGCUCAACCGUGGAAUUGCCUUUGAUACUGCUGAGCUUGAAUCAGGAUGAGGUUGGCAGAAUGUGGCAUGUAGCGGUGAAAUGCAUAGAUAUGCCAUAGAACACCGAUUGCGAAGGCAGCUGGCUAGACCUUGAUUGACGCUGAGGCACGAAAUCGUGGGUAGCGAACAGG